rnacentral:tRNA from 1 species
UGAGAUGUAGCUCAGUGGUAGAGCACUUGGCUUGCACACACAAGUUCCUGAGUUUGAGCUCCAGCAUUACAA